GGCAAAUGCACUCUGUGUCACAUCGAUCCAACCUCGAGUGAAUACAAUUUGUUAGUUUGCCAGAUCAAGGGGAUGUGCUUAUCCAUGUGGCCAGCCCCCUCAGGGCGACUGCAUUGAAGACACGUCUUACAAAGG